GGAGCGGCAGGCGUCGGAGGCGGGGCCGGGGCGGGGUCUGGGCCCCGGCGCGCUGGGCGGCAGAGCCGCUGAGUGGCCCAGCUCGCAGGAGGAGGAGUCGUGGAGGGCGGGCCGGGACUGCUCUCCGCGCCGCCCGUGCUCGCCCUCGGCACCUGACCCGGCGAGAGGAAGGGGCGGGUCCAGAGAACACCCGGGACUUGAACGCUGGACCCUGAGAGAGGCCUCGGAGAGGGGAGGAAGGACCGUGUGCUGUCCUGGAGCCAGUGAAACCAGACGAAAUUAAGGGAACAGCAGACGAAGGAACUGCCACCGUGCCCCAGACCCUGGUUUGCAAAUACAGUUCGACAAAGAUCUUGCCAGGAAUUGGCCUGGGAGAGUCCAAAGGACUGGGCUGGGGGUGGGGAAAUGAUUUUAGCCAGAAGACAAAUAUAGAGGUUGUACCCAGAAGGUUAAGAGGCUUAGGAAGGUUAAGAACUACGUUAACAUUUGGCUCCCAGGACCCCAGGUAAAGUGCCCUUGGAUUGAAUAGAUUUCUGAACUCCAGAAACAUUUAGAGGAAUCAAUAGAAUUAGAUUGGCAGCCAUUGUGCCAAUGGACAAGUGCUUACUGAGCCCCUUAAUCCCUUCACUGGGUAAGCAUUUGCCACACAUGUCCUCAAAAACCUACUUGUUAGCUUAAGUGGACUCCCUCAAGUUCAGAACAGGAGCAAAUAGUGUAAUCACAAGUUCCGUGUCUGAAUAAUCAUAACAAUGUUUAUAAAAAUAAGGACGACUGUUGAAAACUGCAACUGCAGCUGAACCUUAUGUGCCCAGACUUCAGAAUUCCCAUAGGCAAAAUGCCAGCAGGCCUUUGCACACUGAACACAUAGUGUUCAUAUCCUUCACUUUCCUUUCCUGCCCUCUCCUAUCUUCUCCAGAUCUGCCUGUGAAAGGACCCAAUUCUAGGACCCCCCAGGAUGGUUAGGCCCUUCCUCUGAAAGUACACUUUGCAAUUUGUUAGUCUCCUCAAGAACCCCAGCGAUCGAAACUGAUGCACACAAAUUGCAUGUGUUCAAAGGAGCAAUUUUGAAUCUAGCUUUGUUGAUCCUGGGAGAAAUCUUUGACCUGUGUUAGUGAAAGGCUAUGGUGUUUCUCAGCUGAUUAUAAUAGCGAGGUAGCUGAAUGCAAAAAAACAGUUUCAGAGAAUGGUAGAGUAUAUCCUCCAAAGGUGAUACUCGCUUCUCUAUUCUGGUGAGAGAAACAAGAGCUAAAGCAAAAUUCUACAGAGGGCUUUAUUUGGAGAGAGGUGGAUUUUAUUUAUAAUGCAUUUAAAAUUCAAAAUCUUUCUAGUUUGAACUCUUGACAUUCUGAUUAAUGCAUUUUUAUUCAACUGUUAAUUAUUCCUCGAUACACCUCGCCAUCACUUGUGUAUCCCUUUUCUACAUGUGACCUUUCCCUGGCCACAUCUGCUACUCUCUUUGAGCAUGAUGCCUCUACUGUAUUCUAUUCCAGAGCUCAUUGUUUUGUCAGUUUUUUUUCUCUCCACAAAAAAAGAUGAUCAAAUAAUUACAUAGAAUUUUUCCCUUCUCAGUCUUUGGGUAACUAAGUGUGGUUUUAUUGACGAUGAAAUACAAGAUGGGUCAUUUAAAAGCAACUUCUUGUCAUCACUUGGUAUUUUGCUAAAUCCACGGUGAGCUGGAGCUCCCGUAGUCACCUAUCACCGCGUGUAUUUUAAGGAGUCAGAUAUUCUCGAAACUGUUAAGAUCAUGAAAGACAAAGAGACUAAGGAACUGUCACAGAUUAAAGGAGACUAAAGAUACUUGACAACUGAAUGUAAUAUAUGACACUCAACCGGCUCCUGUACCAGAAAAAGGACAUUGGUUAUAUUGGUGAGGUUUGAAUAUCUGUAGAUUACCAAUACUAUUCUUGGUUAUGGUGGUUAUGUAAGAUUUAGAGAAGUUGAAUAAAG
rnacentral:lncRNA from 1 species